rnacentral:rRNA from 1 species
ACUGAACGCUGGCGGCAGGCCUAACACAUGCAAGUCGAACGGUAGCACAGAGAGCUUGCUCUCGGGUGACGAGUGGCGGACGGGUGAGUAACGUCUGGGAAACUGCCCGAUGGAGGGGGAUAACUACUGGAAACGGUAGCUAAUACCGCAUAACGUCGCAAGACCAAAGUGGGGGACCUUCGGGCCUCACACCAUCGGAUGUGCCCAGAUGGGAUUAACUAGUAGGUGGGGUAAUGGCUCACCUAGGCGACGAUCCCUAGCUGGUCUGAGAGGAUGACCAGCCACACUGAAACUGAGACACGGUCCAGACUCCUACGGGAGGCAGCAGUGGGGAAUAUUGCACAAUGGGCGCAAGCCUGAUGCAGCCAUGCCGCGUGUAUGAAGAAGGCCUUCGGGUUGUAAAGUACUUUCAGCGGGGAGGAAGGCGGUGGAGUUAAUAACUUCACCGAUUGACGUUACCCGCAGAAGAAGCACCGGCUAACUCCGUGCCAGCCGCCGCCGUAA